UACGUAGGGUGCAAGCGUUGUCCGGAAUUAUUGGGCGUAAAGAGCUCGUAGGCGGUCUGUCGCGUCGGAAGUGAAAACCUGGGGCUUAACCCCGGGCCUGCUUUCGAUACGGGCAGACUAGAGUUCGGCAGGGGAGACUGGAAUUCCUGGUGUAGCGGUGAAAUGCGCAGAUAUCAGGAAGAACACCCGUGGCUAAGGCGGCUCUCUAGUACGGUACUGACGCUGAGACGCGAAAGCGUGGGGAGCGAACAGG
rnacentral:rRNA from 1 species